ACUAGGAAUUAAGGAGCUAAUUAAACAUUGUUAUUGAAAGUUAAAUAAAGAACUACAAGCUUAAUUGCACGUCUUAAUUAGAUUAAUUCUCACAAUUAGCUAUGAUCUGAUCUGAUCUCGCUUUAGUUUCUCUCCAACUACAUAAAUCAUGUGUUUCUUAAUUUAUCCCCAAUCUAAAGUUCAAAAAUUGUCAUCAUUCCAUGUAGCAUACGAGUAAGCACAGUUCGCGAUUUUUAACUAUUAUUAAUUUGCACAAAGCAAAGCUACAAAGCAAGAGUACCACUCCUUUUGCGUAGUCGCUGUUGCACUACGUACGUAGAAAAUACGUAAAAAAAAACCCCUCGCGUACGACGAAUAUUUACAACUACGUCCCUCCGACGAGCCUCUUUAUCCCCCGAGUAAGUAACCUCUCUCUAGUUUCUCUCUCUCUCUCUCUCUACUUUUUUUGGGGGGGGAANUGAUCUCGCUUUAGUUUCUCUCCAACUACAUAAAUCAUGUGUUUCUUAAUUUAUCCCCAAUCUAAAGUUCAAAAAUUGUCAUCAUUCCAUGUAGCAUACGAGUAAGCACAGUUCGCGAUUUUUAACUAUUAUUAAUUUGCACAAACCAAAGCUACAAAGCAAGAGUACCACUCCUUUUGCGUAGUCGCUGUUGCACUACGUACGUAGAAAAUACGUAAAAAAAAACCCCUCGCGUACGACGAAUAUUUACAACUACG
rnacentral:lncRNA from 1 species